rnacentral:rRNA from 1 species
AAUGAACGCUGGCGGCGUGCCUAACACAUGCAAGUCGUACGAGAAAGGGGCUUCGGCCCUGAGUAGGGUGGCGCACGGGUGAGUAACGCGUGGGUAAUCUGCCCUUGGAUUUGGAAUAACUCCGCGAAAGUGGAGCUAAUACCGGAUAGUCUGGCUUUUUAACGAAGUCGGUAAAGGAUGCCUCUGCAUAUGCAUUCGUCCGAGGAUGAGCCCGCGUCUCAUUAGCUAGUUGGUAGGGUAAUGGCCUACCAAGGCAACGAUGAGUAGCUGGUCUGAGAGGAUGAUCAGCCACACUGGAACUGAAACACGGUCCAGACUCCUACGGGAGGCAGCAGUGGGGAAUAUUGCGCAAUGGGCGAAAGCCUGACGCAGCAACGCCGUGUGAGGGAUGAAGGCUUUCGGGUCGUAAACCUCUGUCAGAAGGGAAGAACGGGCAUUGGUCUAAUAGGCCUUUGUUUUGACGGUACCUUCAGAGGAAGCACCGGCUAACUCCGUGCCAGCAGCCGCCGUAAGAC